rnacentral:rRNA from 1 species
AAUGAACGCUGGCGGCGCGCCUAAUACAUGCAAGUCGAGCGAGAAGACGUAGCAAUACGUUUGUAAAGCGGCGAACGGGUGAGGAAUACAUGGGUAACCUACCCUCGAGUGGGGAAUAACUAGCCGAAAGGUUAGCUAAUACCGCGUACGCUCCUUGGACUUCGGUUCAGGGAGGAAAGCGAUACCGUGGGUAUCGCGCUCUUGGUUGGGCUCAUGUCCUAUCAGCUUGUUGGUGAGGAACGGCUCACCAAGGCUUCGACGGGUAGCUGGUCUGAGAGGACGAUCAGCCACACUGGCACUGCGACACGGGCCAGACUCCUACGGGAGGCAGCAGUAAGGAAUAUUGCGCAAUGGGCGAAAGCCUGACGCAGCGACGCCGCGUGGGGGAGUGAAGGU